rnacentral:rRNA from 1 species
CUGCCAGUAGUCAUAUGCUUGUCUCAAAGAUUAAGCCAUGCAUGUCUCAGUACAAGCCAAAUUAAGGUGAAACCGCGAAAGGCUCAUUAAAUCAGUUAUGGUUCCUUAGAUCGUACCCACAAUUACUUGGAUAACUGUGGUAAUUCUAGAGCUAAUACAUGCAAACAGAGCUCCGACCGGAGACGGAAGGAGUGCUUUUAUUAGAUCAAAACCCAAUCGGUGGCGGGUUCGCUCGUCAUCGUACAACUUGGUGACUCUGAAUAACUUUACGCUGAUCGCACGGUCUCGCACCGGCGACGCAUCUUUCAAAUGUCUGCCUUAUCAACUGUCGAUGGUAGGUUCUGCGCCUACCAUGGUUGUAACGGGUAACGGGGAAUCAGGGUUCGAUUCCGGAGAGGGAGCCUGAGAAACGGCUACCACAUCCAAGGAAGGCAGCAGGCGCGCAAAUUACCCACUCCCGGCACGGGGAGGUAGUGACGAAAAAUAACGAUAC